CCUGCUGCACGCUGUGUGUCAAGGAAUCCGUCUCGAUAUUCUUCAACAAAACGCCUUAAAUAGUGAAACGAAAUCGCUCAACACGUCGAAUCCUUUUUGCUUAUCCCUUCAAACAUAUGCUGUGGGAAGUUUACUGCGAUAAAACGGCUCGAACAACGAUUACUUUGAGCUAUAUCUUACGCCUGUAUGGGACAUUAAGCUUACGCUCCAGGAAUUUAUACGCCUAGCAUGUUGACUUUAAAAUGGUUUAUGCCAGUUUAGACUUUAGAAAUAUCUGUGUUAGCGUUGGUCAAGAAUGUACGAUAUAUGAUGUGGUUUUUACACGGGAAUGGAUCGAAAAGCUUAAUACAAUAUCUAUUUGAGUUCGCUAACAAUAGCUGGGUUUUCAAGCAAAGAUUUUGUAAUACAGUAUUGGGUAUGGUCACUCGUGGCAAUUUGGUAUUAAGGCAUGGUAUUACUGGAUGCAUUUUGGUUGGAGAAUGUUUAAGAUCACGAAUGCAUUUCUAAAUGUGAUCGGAGUUGUCUCAGUAAAAACAUCCUUUGGAUGAAAAUCAAAUACACAGAC